rnacentral:rRNA from 1 species
AUUGAACGCUGGCGGCAUGCCUUACACAUGCAAGUCGAACGGUAACGCGGGGCAACCUGGCGACGAGUGGCGAACGGGUGAGUAAUGUAUCGGAACGUGCCCAGUCGUGGGGGAUAACUGCUCGAAAGAGCAGCUAAUACCGCAUACGACCUGAGGGUGAAAGCGGGGGAUCUUCGGACCUCGCGCGAUUGGAGCGGCCGAUAUCAGAUUAGGUAGUUGGUGGGGUAAAGGCCUACCAAGCCGACGAUCUGUAGCUGGUCUGAGAGGACGACCAGCCACACUGGGACUGAGACACGGCCCAGACUCCUACGGGAGGCAGCAGUGGGGAAUUUUGGACAAUGGGGGCAACCCUGAUCCAGCCAUGCCGCGUGCGGGAAGAAGGCCUUCGGGUUGUAAACCGCUUUUGUCAGGGAAGAAAAGACUCCUUCUAAUACAGGGGGUUCAUGACGGUACCUGAAGAAUAAGCACCGGCUAACUACGUGCCAGCCGCCGCCGUAAGAC